ACAUCGGUAGCACAGUGGUUAGUGCAGUCUGCCGGAAACAGAAAGACACGGGUUCAAUUCCCGUCCGAUGUC
rfam:Nippostrongylus brasiliensis genome assembly, scaffold: NBR_scaffold0002752